UACGACUCCCAGCAUGACAUACCAAAACAACUCAAAAAACAGCAUAAAAUAUGUUUUUUGUUUUGGUUCAUAGGAUCGCGGACAGAUCAUUGUUGUGGACUGUUUGAGUUUUAAAAGAAAAGUGUCGGAGGGCGAAGGAUUGCGGCAACAAAAAAAUACGCACUGCUUUACGGUACCUGGUCCCCCGACAACGACCAACCAAGCGGCGGCGGACGUUGUACGGAGGACGCUUCUAGAAACCUUAAAAAAGAGCGCGCCAUCCGCUUUAUGGUCAUGGUCUGUCAGAGAACCUCAAGACGAACGUCGAGUACAUUAAGAUUGCCGGAACCCGGGCGGAUCGGCUAUCAACAACUUCGCCAACGGCAAACUCAUAAUUACGCACGCAGAUGCAGGUCGUCUGGGCCGCUUGGGACAACGUGUCCGAGAAUCCAAAAA